AAUCUUUGAAUGAAUAUAUUCAUAUUGUCUCGCCCUUUAUUAUGGAACAAGUUCGGCUAUGUAAUAUAAUGCCUGUUUAAUAUUUUACCACCUGUGCGGCCGUGUUUAUGAAAUUUUGACAGUUGGCCAGUCGUCGGCUUCAGCCCCCACGUAGGUAGUACGGGGGUGUUCGGGAUGUAAUCUAAACACUCUUGACCCAAUUGUUUGGUCCUUGAAGGAGGAGUUUUGCACAACGAACCAGGCAAUUGGACUAUGUGGCUUUCUCUACUUAGAAAUAGGAGUUUUACAUAAGGUCGGUUACAAAGAAAGGAAUCUUCAUAUUUGGUCGCCAUGCUUGCCUUCCACGCCAAGGAGAGUCCCAUCCGAACAUGGGAGGAAGUCUUCAGUCUUUGUAUCUUCACAUCCCACUAGUCCGGCCCAUGUCCAACAGGCCGGACGCCUGAGGACCCCUUAGUCCAGGACUCCCUCACCUGGUACAACGGUUUAUCACCGUCAGGGUAGAGUCGGCACGAAACGUUACAAAGAAGGUGAGGAAAGGUGGAAUGUGCUGGCUCGGGCUGAUACGGAUAUGGAACGGGAGCCAUCUACACUCACAACAUUAGUCGGUCAGUAACAAAAUAAACUAUAUGCAUGCAAUGUGGCAACCAAGUGCAAAUGCACACUCAAAAGACCCAAGGACUUCUAUCUACCGCCUUCUAACGUGUUGGCUGUCUAAGGUGUCCUACAGUCAGCACGACUCUGAUACCAAGCGUUGUGGCACCUCGGCUCAAAGAUCAAGUCUUCUGGCAAUACACAACAACUUGGUACAGAAAGCAACCGGUUUAUUGAUCUCUUGCGGAUACAAAGUUUCAAAUAUUACAUAGAAGUCGAGGCCAAGCGGCAUGCACGGUGCGGCUAAACUUAUGUACAUUAUUUAGUAGACAUCUCAGGGGCCUCAGCGAAAGGCGAUACUCCUACUCGGUAGCGGAACAAAGAGGUAGCGGGACUCCACUCCACAAGGACACUGCUAGGACACGGCCUAGAUCGGGACGAACCGAAAAACACCAACUCUGGGUACGGCUCCUCCUACAUCUAGCAUGACACGCUAGGUGAGUACUUUGAAUGUACUCGCAAGCUCACAGCAAGCAAAGCAAACAUGACAAAUAACAACAAGGCAUUUAGCAAGUUUAAUUCAUGAACAUGAGCAUGAUACUAUAUCCAUGAAGUAUACGUGGUUCAUGAUCAUGGUCCCUCAGACCAACUUACCAUCUCGGGUUACCUCAUAACCACCAUCAACAACUUACCAUUGUGAUCCUCACUAGAUCACAUCAGAACCAACCAUAGUGGUCCUCACAAGAUCACCAACUUCUGCAUGUGCCAUCUCAGUGUUAUUAAGUGUGCCGGUUAUUUAUUUCUAUUAACCCACAGUGUGACCUACUACGAACUGUGUCCAUAUCCGAGGAUGCGGCUAUCGAUAGAUUAUGCACUCUGCAGAUGUUCGUACACUGUACCCACACCGCGGAAUUCAUGGCGUCGUGUUCCCAUUCGGGUGGACCAAUGUCAUUCUGACAAAACCAAUAUGUUGCAUGACACUCUCCCGGCCACUCCGACAAACUCCCCUUUGGGCUAUGUCAUGUGUGGCCCCGCAUGCCAACUCUUGACAUCUGCCACCUUCGUGGCCAGCCACCGUCGUGGCAGAACAAAACAAACGAUCCCAAAUGGGGACAAUGGUACCAUAAAACUUUGGCCAUACAAGGUUUUGACUGCCUUCGGGUCAGGGUAGCGCAAGCGCAUAACCUUCUCUAGUUGGAGGCACUAGCGAGAGGCAUGACAAUAGACCGAAUAAGGGCCCCCCAUCCAGGCAAGUGUGGUUGCACUGGUGAACUUGAAUCUGUGGCACCAUGACUCGAUCAAUAGCUUGUUCAAGUUGAAUUAGCAUCAUAUAACUUGAAUUAAAAUGAUUUGAGCCAUAAUAUGCAAUGAGGUGCACAGGUCAUGAAUAUGGAUGAUGAAUGCAUCAUAUUUAGCAAGAGCAUAUGAAAUGAUCUUUACUGCACAUAAUACCAAGAUGAUAUAUAUUCUACAAAUAAUAUGCACAAGUUUCAUAUAGAAAUUAUUGUAACUUAAAUGCAUAAAAUGAAUUUAAUUUGAAUAGAACCAUUGCUAUUGCAAUGCCAUCCUUGCAAAUGAAUGUUGUGGCUUGCCUUAGUUCAGAGGAGUGUCACAAUACUCCUGGCCUCCUCCAACACAAUCGAACCUUCUGAAAAUAAUUUAAAUGCAAAAGGAAAAUGUUACAUAAAGCAUUGUAAUGCACCAGAAAUUAUCUACAGCAAAAAAAAUUCUCAAACUUGGCACACAGAAACUUUAGCUCAAUACAAAAAUAAUGCAAAAAAGAAUCAACCCAUUUGGACUUAUAGAAUAGAAUCUAGAGUUGGUCAAAUUUCUGGUCAAAAUUUGGAUUUAAAUGAAUUUAAACGAAUUUCCAGGGAAGGCCACAUCGAAGGCGUAUUUUCAGAAUACGCCUCCACUAAGAAAACACUUUGGGGGGAAGAGAGGCUGGCAGUGGGGUCUCACUGUUCAGGUGAGAGAGAGAGAGAGAGAGAGAGAGAGGGAGAGAGAGAGAGGAACAGGGCACGGCAGCCUUGUCGCCGGUGGUUGUUCGGCGAGGAGACCACGGCGAUUAUCGGAGAGAGGGGUAACGGGUCCAUCACAUCAUGGCGAACACACACGUACCCGUGGUGACGGCUGAGGUGGACGGAUGAUGACUCGGGCUUCUUCUCCAGAGAAGGCGAGCAGUGGAGCUCGGCGGAGCGGACGUUUACGGUGAUGAUUCGACGAACCAACAGCACUGGCGUACUCAGGAGAUCACCACUAGCUUGAUGGAGGCAGAGGGCAAAGACGGAGAUGAUCAGAGCAGGAGGACUGUCGUUGGGGAUCCGCGGGCAAUUCCGGCAAGGAUGGUGGCAGGAGGCCCUCCCGGCCUUGCCGCACUAGUGAGGAACUCAAUUUGUGGCCAGAGAAGUCGAAUGCAAUGAUUGGAAUGGCUCAGGGAGGGUUCUAUUUAUAGAUGGAGGGUGACAGUGCAUUGAGCUCCACCGGAGUAGAGUUGCUGGUGCACUGGGAGGGAGAGGACCUCCGGCUAGUCUUGGG
rnacentral:lncRNA from 1 species